CGACCGGCGCACGGGUGCGUAACGCGUAUGCAACCUGCCUGUAAUUAGGGAAUAACCCGGUGAAAGUCGGACUAAUACCCUAUAUUCAUCGUUAAUCGCAUGAUUGAUGAUGGAAAGAUUUAUUGAUUACAGAUGGGCAUGCGUCCCAUUAGCUGGUUGGUAAGGUAACGGCUUACCAAGGCAACGAUGGGGUAGGGGGACUGAGAGGUUCGACCCCCACACUGGUACUGAGACACGGACAGACUCCUACGGGAGGCAGCAGUA
rnacentral:rRNA from 1 species